rnacentral:lncRNA from 1 species
GGUCAUCAUGAGUUCUUCCUGGAGCAGUUCUGCCUUACAGACAGAGAUCCUCCAGUCCUUACAGGAAUCAGCCUCUCAGGACAGAGCAGUGGUUUGGGGCCUCAGCUGGGUUCUGUCCAUAGCAGGGGAAGGCAGCCAAUGGUGGAGGAAAGUGAGAUAAGGACAGAGAGGCUGCACUUCCUGUCAGCUCCCAGGGGAUGGUCCAAAAGAGCAGGAAACCAUUCAUCUGCUCGGCAUGUUAUAAACAGAAGCCCGGUUCACCGUUUCAUCGAUUAGUACACUCUUUGUGUUACUGGGAAGGAACUUCUUGUUUGAUGAAGUUCUAUGUGGUCUGAUUGGCGAGUUUCCAUAGCUGGCUUCCCCUUUGCUUGACUUCUGCUCUCGAGUCAGGAAUGUUUGAAGUGGUUUCCAUUGGAAAGUCCCUUGGUUUCUGUGAAAUACAGCACCAGCAGCUGCAGCAAGAAGAACUGACAGAGUUUUAAGCCUUCAGUCCAUUUCUUGGGGUUCUAGCUCAAGCUUAUGGGGUCUACCCUGUUCUCUGUCUCCCUUACAGUAUGUGUAAUCAUGGCUAUCUGACUCAAGGAACUGAAGCUCCAGUAUGAGGUAAUCUGGGUAAGAUGGCUUAGUCAUUGUACAUAAUUAAGACCAAGUCCCUGUAACACACAGGACCUGAGUCACACACACACACACACACACACACACACACACCCCACACAUACCACACACACAUACCAAAUACACAUAUCAUACCCCUCCAUACUCCUACACAUACACCCAUACAUACCACAUACUACAUACAUGCACACACAAUAUGUCUAUUCUUAGUUGUCAACUUGUCUACAUCUAGAAUUAGCUAAAAACAAAACAAAACAAAGCCACUAGGCACUCCUUCGAGGGAUAGUUUUUAGGUGAUUGGAUCACUGAAGGUCUGAAGACCCACCUUAAAUCUGGGCCACACCCUCUUAUGGCAGUUGAUAUAAAGGACAAGGGAGAAAGAAGUUCUUGCUCUUUGCCUGCUUGUCCUCACUCUUUCUGGAAAGUCUAUUCCUUCAUUGGCAUUAGAGCCUAUUUCCACAUUCCAACCAGCUGAGACAUUCAGCCUUGUGGACUGAACAACUACUGGAUUCUUGGACUUUCUGCUACUAGCCAGCCAUUGUUGGACCCAGCUGGACCACAGCCUUGAAACAAUGGAACUGGAGGCCAUCAUUCCAAGUGAGAUAAGCCAGGCACAGAAAAACAAGGACAGAAUGUUCCCUCUCAUGGAUAGGAAGGAAGUCAUUCUGAAGAGUAGACAAGUGGUUCCUAGAGACUGGAACGGAUGCUGCAGGGAGGGGCGGAGGGUGGAAGAGGGGUGAGUGGAAAUGACCCCUGCAUGUUGUGUGCAUGUAUGGAAAUUCACACUCAGCCUCAUUAGUAUGUACAAUUAAUAUGUGUUAAUAAAAAAGUAGGAGAUUUUCUGAGGAAAGACUUUGGAAGCUGGGGAAAGCAUGUGAUAGAGAAUUACAUCUUCACCCCUCAUUGGCUGCAUGAUCUUGGUUGACUAUCUCUCUGGGCUUCAGCUUUCUCAUCUAUGAAAUGAAUUAUUCAUCAUAACUAACAAGUAUCGAUUGCUUCCCAGAUGCCAGACGAGGCUCUAAGCACUCCCCGUGUACUCUGUCAUCGAAUUCUCUUGAUUCACAUUGGGGUGGGUGCUCCCAUGACCCUCAACUUAGAUGAGGGGAAACUGCCAUAGAUAAUGUGUCCACAGAAUAUACACUGCAGACCCAGGAUUCAAACAUGGACAAUUUGGCUUCCAGCACCAUGUUUUCCAUCUACAACCCUCCAUCACAAGGAAAUGUGGGGCUAGAAUGAUAAUGUAGACGUACAGGCUCCCCCAAAGCAGCAGGGCUUCCCCCUCCUCCUCUUCUGUAGGUUGUGAUUAGAACUUGCUGUAUGGUUUUGUUAAACUGCAGAAAUGAACCUAAACAAACAAGCACCAGAAAAAUCCAGCUGGAAUAAUGAUGAAGACAUCCAAAAGGUAGGUUCUCCAUAGGAUCCAGAAAGAUCCAGGGCUGUCCGGACAGGACACCAGGACACUCUGACUUAGAUAUUCCGGUCCUUGGCAGGCAGGAGGCUUUGGAGGUGUGUUUGGCUCCACCUGUGUGUCAAUCCAUCAACUCCCUUUACUGACUUUGUACUGAAUAAAGAAUCUUCUAGUAUUGAUUUUCUUUCCCAAAAGUCUGUCCUUCCUGAAAGAGAUUGUGCUGACCAGCCAACCUCAGAAUUCCUGGCUGCUGGGGGCUUUCAUUUCUCAGUGUAAAUUAAUAAAUUGCAUUUUGGACUCAUUAAUCAGUCUCAUGAGUGUGUUUAGUGUGAGCUAUUUCCUCUAUACUUAAUCAUAACAACUCACCUUCUAGGAGGAGGGAAUGGAGAAGAAAUCCCUUCAGUACAGUAAGAGAAAUGUUCCAAAAAUUUUAUGAAAAAGGCAGAAUGUGUUGAUCUGUAGGUGGAGACAGGCACAUUCAGAGUGGCUUCCUGGAGGAGGGUAACACAGGCAAAGGAGGGGACUUCAGCAUGACCCUUGAGCACAGUCCCUGAGGCCUGCCAGAGUUGGAGGUGUGUCUUUUCCUAUUCACUGGCUUAGUGACUUUGCCAGGCUUUGGCAUCUCUGUGGUCCUCAUGCCCCUCUUUUUUAUAGUUCUCAUAAUGAUGGCAUCCAAUAUGGGGUGGUGUGACUAUCAGAUAACUGCAGAUGUUCUGAAGUAUCCUGGAGAGCUGAUUUCAGGGCUCAUCCCACCAGGAUCUCCAAAUCCACAGAUGCCCAAAACCUUUCUAUAAAAUUUCAUUGUAUGUAUAUAUAAAAUUCUCAAAAAUAAUGAAAAAUAAACUACUAGUAAAUGAAAAAUAUAGUAAAGUAUUUACAUUUAACCUAAGCACUUAUACUUGAAGUCAUUAGAUUAUUCAUGGUGUGUGUAUGUGUGUGUGUGUGUGUGUGUGUGUGUGUGUGUGUGUGUGUGUAUGUGUGUGGUACAUGGAUCUGAGGUGAGUGAUGGGUGUCUGUGGGUGUGAAAAUGUGGAGGACAGGGGAAAACAUUGGGGUCUCCUGUCACUCUUUACCUACUAUCUUGAGACAGGGUCUCUCACUGAACUGGUAGCUUGCUCUUUUGAUUAGGCUUCCUUGUCAGUGAGCUCCCAGGAUCCACUUGACUGCUCCACGGAUGCUAGUUUACAGGCAUGUGGCUCUGUGGUGGAGAUUUUAAUUCAGAUUCUUAGGAUUGCAUAGCAAGCACUCUUACCCACUGCUCCUUCUUCUCAGUUCCUAUUCACAGUACUGAAUACAAUGUAAAUGUUAUGCAAAUAGUUGUUAACAAUGUUAACAAUAGCUGGGCACCAUAGUGCACACCUGUAAUCCCUGCACUUUGGAGACAGAGGCAGAAAGAUCAGGAGUUCCAGCCUAUCCUCAGCUACACAGUGAUUUCAGAGCCAGCCUGGGCUACAUGAGAGUUUGACAUAACAAGAUAAAACAAAACAUGUAGCAGUGAUUUAUUUGGGCACACAAUGACAAAACAGUCCCUACCUGUUUAGUAUAGUUGCACUGUCCUCUACCCCCUGAGUAUCUAUCUGAAUCUUUGGUUGCUGAACUUCUAGUUAAGGCAGACUGACUGUGCUGUAUAAAGCUCUUAGCCUGAGGCCUGGCUUACAAAGGACAUUUAGUAAAUGGAUGUCAUUACUGUUGCUAUUAUGAAUGCCUUGAAGGGUAUUUCCACAGAGGGCAUUUCUGGAAGGAGUCUCAUUUGGCACUGGGUACAUCCUCAGGACCUAAAGACUGUUCUGUGAGAGUUGACCCUUAGGUUUCAGAUGUGCAGGGCAGAAUGUUCUUUGUAGUAGAGGGAUCCUUCCUUGAGAGCAAUCACAGUCCAUUCUGUGGUUUAGCAGCAGAGAAGAGCUGCACACACAAUCUGCAAGAGCUCAUCAGCUCGUGGUUUCUGAGUCACUGUUAGGUCAUUUCAGCUCCAAACAGGAGGCCUGGGCCGGAAGGGCAGUGGCUGGAGACAACUGGACCUUACCAGAGAUCCUCCUUCAGGAUCAGCCUCUGCAUGGAAGCCUAGCUAGGGCUGAGAGAUGCUCAGUAUUUGUUUCUAGGAUAAAAACAGAGGCCCUAGUGGAAAGGGUGCUCUCAGUAAGGUCCAGCUGCAGAGCUGGGCAGCUCCUGGGUUCUCUGCUCUCUUGUCCUAUGCUUGUCCACAGAUCCUGGUUGAAAGGAAAAGUAUUGGCUCAGGACCCUGAAGGCCAAGUUCUCAGCACAAAGGAGAUUUAUUUGCCCCGGAGGGACAGGGGGCAGGGAUAAUGGUCAAAGACAGAAGAUAGAGGAAGAGGGAGAAGGGGAAGGGAACCAGGGAAAGGGGACAGGGGUACUUGUUCCAGAGGGACAAAGGACUGUCUGGAUGGAGAGGAGACAGAUGUGGCACAUAGGUAAAUGGAAGUUUAUAAAAGUGCAAUGGGGAAACCCUGUGUUAGGAUGAGGUGUUUAAUUUUAAUUGGACAUGUUAAUUAGGUGAACCAAUGGGUGAUUUUGAUUGUUGGACUUCAAUACUUUGAUAGCUGGACCUUGGUAGUCAGCUUCAGGAGGAGGCAGUAGCCAUAAAAGGGAAUUGAGCUUGGGACUAGCUUCAGGAAUGUGAGGCAAACGUGAUAAGCACUACACUACAGAAACAACAUGCUUAGUUUCAGGAAUGUAAUCCAAUGGUUUUUAGCAAAGCUGAAGGAGAAGGAAGGGCAAGG